rnacentral:lncRNA from 1 species
UUUUAUUGACAUAAAUAGCCGUGAUGCAAUGUGGCUAAAUGCAUGCAAGAAAGAAUCAAUUUAUUGUUGUCCCAUUCUUGUUGGCUCUUACAAACAACAUAAUGUAAUCAUUUUAAGCAUGAAACUAACCAUUAAGUUAAGUGUGAUGGAACAUGAUUAUCACAUGCAAUCACCAAAAUCACUUCUUGUAGCAUGCAAACUACACAUUGCUCGUUCAAAAUAAAUUAUUUCUUUGGAUUUUUAAUAUAAGUUUAGCUAAAUGUAUACGAGCUGUUUGUCUAUGGUUCAAAUCUUUUUAUAUUUUUGUAUAAUAUAUUAAUAUUUUUUUAAAAUAUAUUCUGUAUCUUUAUAUUUAUUAUAAUAUAAAUGUGACGGAUCUGAACCUAAUUUAUAAGUGAAAAUUAGAAAUGUAAGAUUUUGGACUAGUAGUGAAAAAAAUAAUUUUAAAAUUUCAAAAUGUAAAAUUAUAUUAUAGUUGGUAAUUACUUCAUUCAAAGUAAAUUAUAAAUAAAAAAAUAUUUUAAAAAAUUGACAUUUAGUUUUUUUUUUAAAAUUAGAUAUAUUUGAUCUUAAUUAUUAAGCAGAUGUCACUUUUUUAUAUCGAUUCGUUCCAUGUUGUUUGUCAUUAAAAGUUGUGGCACACUUCUUAAAACAACAAUUAAUAAUAUAGAUUUUGUAAAUAUAAAAUAUUGUGGAUAGUGGUGUAACUAUUUUAUCCCUUAUCUCUCCACCAUAAAAAAUGUGUAAUUAACAGAUGUCAUAAAUAAGUGAACAAAAAAGAGGAAAUGUUAUAAAUAAAAUUGAAGAAAAAAAAAGGAAAAAUACAUUAACAAAAAACUUACAGUAAAAUGGAUAAGAGUUUUAUUUUUAUGCACAGUCAGAGUGAAUUUUUUUAGCAUGAUAAACAUAUCAUAAUGAAUUAUGUGUAGUUGUAAAAAUAAUUAUAAUCAAUAAAACUCCAAUAUUUAAAUUUGAUAGUUAUGAUUAAGUGACACAUAUUUUUCUCCCAAUAUAUUGAAAUAUAGUUUUAAAUUUAUAUGUAUGUUU